UACAGAGGGGGCAAGCGUUGUUCGGAAUUACUGGGCGUAAAAGGGCGCGUAGGCGGCCUGUUAAGUCGAACGUGAAAUCCCCGGGCUCAACCCGGGAACUGCGUCCGAUACUGGCAGGCUUGAAUCCGGGAGAGGGAUGCGGAAUUCCAGGUGUAGCGGUGAAAUGCGUAGAUAUCGGGAGGAACACCUGUGGCGAAAAGGCGGCCUCACUGGACCACAACUGACGCUGAGGCGCGAAAGCUAGGGGAGCAAACAGG
rnacentral:rRNA from 1 species